GAUGAACGCUGGCGGCGUGCCUAAUACAUGCAAGUCGAGCGAACAGAUGAGGAGCUUGCUCCUCUGACGUUAGCGGCGGACGGGUGAGUAACACGUGGAUAACCUACCUAUAAGACUGGGAUAACUUCGGGAAACCGGAGCUAAUACCGGAUAAUAUAUUGAACCGCAUGGUUCAAUAGUGAAAGACGGUUUUGCUGUCACUUAUAGAUGGAUCCGCGCCGCAUUAGCUAGUUGGUAAGGUAACGGCUUACCAAGGCAACGAUGCGUAGCCGACCUGAGAGGGUGAUCAGCCACACUGGAACUGAGACACGGUCCAGACUCCUAAGGGAGGCAGCAGUAGGGAAGAUUCCGCAAUGGGCGAAAGCCUGACGGAGCAACGCCGCGUGAGUGAUGAAGGUCUUCGGAUCGUAAAACUCUGUUAUUAGGGAAGAACAAAUGUGUAAGUAACUAUGCACGUCUUGACGGUACCUAAUCAGAAAGCCACGGCUAACUACGUG
rnacentral:rRNA from 1 species